AUGAAGUUACCUCUUAAGAAUAAAAUCUUUGCAUGGUAUCUUCGUCGCGGAGUCAUUCUUACUAAAGAUAACCUUAUUAAGAGGAAUUGGCAUGGAAGUACACAAUGUGUCUUUUAUCCGCGUGAUGAGACAAUAAAACAUUUAUUCUUCCAAUGUAAAUUGGCUCGUUCUAUAUGGCCAAUUAUCCAAAUAGCGUCUGGCUUGUAUCCUCCUUAUAGUGUUGCUAAUAUAUUUGGCAACUGGCUACAUGAGAUUGAUCACAAGUUUAGAAUUCUUAUCAGGAUGGGAGCGUUUGCCGUGAUUUGGUCGCUUUGGCUAUGUAGAAAUGAUAAGGUUUUUAGUGAUAAAAAUACUUCUCUUAUGCAGGUUAUCUACAGAUGUAUCGGGACUCUUCAUUUAUGA
rnacentral:rRNA from 1 species